GACGAACGCUGGCGGCGUGCCUAAUACAUGCAAGUCGAACGCAGUGGGGACGGGUGAGUAACACGUGGGUAACCUCCCAUCAGAGGGGAUAACACUUGGAAACAGGUGCUAAACCGCUACUGAUGGAGGGACCCGCGGUGCAUUAGCUAGUUGGUGAGGUAACGGCGCACCAAGGCCACGAGGCAUAGCUGACCUGAGAGGGUGAUCGGCCACACUGGGACUGAGACACGGCCCAGACUCCUACGGGAGGCAGCAGUGGGGAAUAUUCCGCAAUGGGCGAAAGUCUGAUCGAGCAACGCCGCGUGAGUGAAGAAGGUUUUCGGGUCGUAAAACUCUGUUGGUAGAGAGGCGGUAUCUGACCAGGAAGCCACGGCUAACUCCGUGCCAGCAGCCGCGGUAAUUC
rnacentral:rRNA from 1 species